GCUUGAGAUUCUGCUGUUUUGAUUGGUGGAGCCCAUCCACCAGUCAGGAGGGUGCAAGAGAAAUAAAGUCACGCCCCUUUCCUGAGGGGAGGGGGAGAAGAGCUCUCUCACACCUGAUUGAAGACUGCAACUCUGUCAGGUCCCGAAGACUUCAGGGGCGGAGCCCUGGAGCGUAUAAAAGGAGCUGUGUACCCAGCACAAGGGAGAUGCGUUGGGGAGAAAGAAGAGAGAAGAGCGGGUCUUAGAAGAGCUGAGGAGAGCUGCCUGGCAGGGCAAAGCAGUAGCACAAGAAAAGCCCCUGAAGACUUCUAUCUGUGGGGAGCUGCAGACAGCUCCAGUAGCUAGGCUCUUGGUGCACAGCAUGGUGCAUGGCGUCUGGACCCUGGGAGCUGUGUGAGAUGGCUCAGGUCUGCAACCUUUGGUGUGCAGCCAGAGACACGGUGUACAGGCCAGUGCACGGAGCAGGAUCUUUGGAGCCGCAAGAGACUGGGAGCUUGGUGCCGGAGGCGCUGCACGGAGGUUGGGAGUGAAACAACUCUGAACCAAAGACGACAUGAAGGUGCACUCUCUUCUCACCUUCUUAUUGUAUGGAUGUUCUGUAGUUUCAGGUACAGUUCAUCAAAUGGAAGGAGAUAAUGCUUUAAUUCCAUGCGAAUUGACUGCUGAAAAUUCUUCAUACAUUAAAGACUUCAUACUUAUUUGGAAAGCAAUAAAAAAUGCAUCUACCUCUGUUCUGGCAUCUUUCAAUAAGACAUCAGGAAUCACUAGAUUUUUUGAAAAAAGACUGUCUUUGGACACAGCCAAGCCAUAUCACUUACACAUAAAUGGUCUGACUCUACAUGACCAGGGAGACUAUCUGUGUAACGUUUCAACACCUCAGUACACACAACUGACUAUAACAACUUUACAAGUUGAAAAAAGGACAAGGACAAACACCAAACUAGUUGUAAUGCUCACCAGCAGUGUGGUCACCGUGGUCAGCUUUGUUGCCGUCAUCACUGCUAUAUAUUGCCUUCCAAAGAAAAGACACACUAAUCAAAACAGGAGUGAGAGAAAUAGUUUGCCACCUUAACAGAAGAGGAAUCAUCAUCAAAAUGUUCCUUUGAAUUCAACAAUAUAACCUCAUCAUCUAUACAACUGUUAUCUAAAGAUACAGACCAAGAGAAAUUUGAAAAAAAGGAAGAGAAUUCUUCAAAAUUAUGUAUUCCAUCUAUAUUUAUAGUUUUAUUAUGAAACAAACAUAGAAGUACCUUUAUGCACUGACUUAUUGAUUAGGCAGAUGAAAAGCAGAGUAUCACAAAGACUCAUCCUGGACUAUUUGAACAAAGUUUUAGGAAGCAUGAUAAAAAUCUUUUUUACUAAAGCAGUGAGAGAAGACUCUUCCUCGUUACAAUUUGUAUAUGGCUAUCUUAAGAAAACUUGAAGAGGGGUUGAGGUAGUCCUUAAUCUCCCUGGAAAAUAGAUUCAUAGAUGUUUGGGUUAAAAGGGACCUCAGUAGAUCAUUGAGUCCAACCCCCUAAACCUGGGCAGGAAAGAGCGCUGGGGUCAGUAAGGGAAUUGUUUCAUUUACUGUAAACACUUUACUGAAUACUCUUCAUCAUCUGCCAAUGUAAAUAGGUGAGUUUCUAGUCACCAUUCUCUGUGUGCAUUCAUGUAUUUGGCACACACAAAACACAGAAACAGUUAACCAUUGUCAUAAACUGCUCUAAAAGACACAGCUUCACGAAAUUAAAGCUCAGUUAGAAUCUGAGACUUUUCACACACUGUUUUCCAUUGCAGAGAUAACAUCAGCCCUCCACCCAACACUUUUAUACUUUCAACUUUUCAAAGCAGAAGUGCUCACGUCGUGGCCUUGUCAGAUUCUAAUGAAUCUGCGAAUUCUGCUAACCACCUGUCAUCAACAGUCUCAGACAGGACAUGAGAAGAAGAAGAAAACUUUCAUAAAGAAGUCCUGCCCAGGAGUCCCUGUGUCUUGUUUUACGCUUGCUUUGGCAUUAGAUGAUACUGUAGAAAACUUGCAGGUCAAUAUGUUGACUGUGGGGGAUGAACUGCCAGUGGGUCCCCAUGCAGUACCAUAUUCUGGUAAGGAACUUGGGAAGCCAGGAUGAGUGUGAAUAAGUGCAAAGGGCCACAGAUAUGUGUAGAGGAUUGCUUUAACCAUUAGAUCAUACUGCUUUAAAAAUCCCAACAUGAGGAUGGCAGACUGCAAGGAUUUGUACAUGUGCGUAGGUUUGUUUAUUUCCAUUACUGCCACUUGGGAUUUGUUUCAAAUAAAUGAACAGGGCAGUCAGCAGGAUUUAAUCAUUUUUUGAUCCCUGGGGCUGGCCCCCGAA